rnacentral:rRNA from 1 species
GACGAACGCUGGCGGCGUGCUUAACACAUGCAAGUCGAACGGAAAGGCCCUGCUUUUGUGAGGUGCUCGAGUGGCGAACGGGUGAGUAACACGUGAGUAACCUGCCCUUGACUUUGGGAUAACUUCAGGAAACUGGGGCUAAUACCGGAUAGGAGCUCCUGCUGCAUGGUGGGGGUUGGAAAGUUUCGGCGGUUGGGGAUGGACUCGCGGCUUAUCAGCUUGUUGGUGGGGUAGUGGCUUACCAAGGCUUUGACGGGUAGCCGGCCUGAGAGGGUGACCGGCCACAUUGGGACUGAGAUACGGCCCAGACUCCUACGGGAGGCAGCAGUGGGGAAUAUUGCACAAUGGGCGGAAGCCUGAUGCAGCAACGCCGCGUGCGGGAUGACGGCCUUCGGGUUGUAAACCGCUUUCGCCUGUGACGAAGUGUGAGUGACGGUAAUGGGUAAAGAAGCACCGGCUAACUACGUG